rnacentral:snoRNA from 1 species
ACUGUAAGGUCUUAUUAUUUGAAUUUAUACAUUACUAUGAAUUCUCAGAAGAUCUUACUAAACUAACAGCGAGAUUAUUAGCAUUCACUAUGUGUCUCUGUAUAUGAGUGUCAGUCCCUCGCUAACAUUAUU